GCGCAGAUGAUGGAAAAAAAAUCACUAUUUGGAAAAGAAUGACAUGAACAAAGGAACCGCUGAUGCGC
rnacentral:snoRNA from 1 species